AACCAGACUCCUACGGGAGGCAGCAGUCGGGAAUAUUGCGCAAUGGAGGAAACUCUGACGCAGUGACGCCGCGUGCAGGAAGAAGGUUUUCGGAUUGUAAACUGCUUUAGACAGGGAAGAUACAAGACAGUACCUGUAAAAUAAGCUCCGGCUAACUACGUGCCAGCAGCCGCGGUAAUACGUAGGGGGCAAGCGUUAUCCGGAUUUACUGGGUGUAAAGGGAGCGUAGACGGCAAUGCAAGCCAGAUGUGAAAGCCCGGGGCUCAACCCCGGGACUGCAUUUGGAACUGUGUAGCUGGAGUGUCGGAGAGGCAGGCGGAAUUCCUAGUGUAGCGGUGAAAUGCGUAGAUAUUAGGAGGAACACCGGUGGCGAAGGCGGCUUACUGGACUGUAACUGACGUUGAGGCUCGAAAGCGUGGGGAGCAAACAGGAUUAGAUACCCCCGUAA
rnacentral:rRNA from 1 species